rnacentral:rRNA from 1 species
AUUGAACGCUGGCGGCAGGCCUAACACAUGCAAGUCGAGCGGAUGAAGGGAGCUUGCUCCUGGAUUCAGCGGCGGACGGGUGAGUAAUGCCUAGGAAUCUGCCUGGUAGUGGGGGAUAACGUCCGGAAACGGGCGCUAAUACCGCAUACGUCCUGAUGGAGAAAGUGGGGGAUCUUCGGACCUCACGCUAUCAGAUGAGCCUAGGUCGGAUUAGCUAGUUGGUGGGGUAAAGGCCUACCUAGGCGACGAUCCGUAACUGGUCUGAGAGGAUGAUCAGUCACACGGGAACUGAGACACGGUCCAGACUCCUACGGGAGGCAGCAGUGGGGAAUAUUGGACAAUGGGCGAAAGCCUGAUCCAGCCAUGCCGCGUGUGUGAAGAAGGUCUUCGGAUUGUAAAGCACGUUAAGUUGGGAGGAAGGGCAGUAAGUUAAUACCUUGCUGUUUUGACGUUACCAACAGAAUAAGCACCGGCUAACUUCGUG